rnacentral:pre_miRNA from 1 species
GCUAGGAAGAGGAAGAAAGAGAGGGCGUAAGAGCAGUGGGAAUGAGAACAUAGAGGAAAGCCUAAAAUUGAUGAUUCUUCACCUCUUGUCUUGAGGUGGCAAUUCAGUUUGGCAUUUUCCGAUGCCUCUCAUUCCUAUCGUUGUUAGGCGCUCCUUCCUCUUCCUUUUUGUU